UGUCAAAUGUAUCGAACGCCGCGGUUGGCUUGCUCGCGAUCUUUCAGUCGGCCGUGGUAUGAUAUUAAUUGAGUAUUGUUGUGUAUGCGUCGGCAUCGCACCGUAUUCGUACAAUAAUGAUUCCAGUGCCGUGUUUAGUGAUUAAAUAACAAUGCAAAUAGUGAACGACACUUGUGUUGUGCUGUGAAACCGCCGAGUGCAGUGCUGUUACAAUGACCGAGAAAAAUAAAUCAGAAAAGAUGACUAACUCAUCGAAACCUGUUCCCAUGAAACUUUUUGCGGCCUGGGAAGUGGACAGGACGCCUUCCAACUGCAUUCCCAGGUAAACUUGGACACCAUCAAAACUUUGUAGUUACUAUGA